AUAUAUUUAUAUUGUUAAGGAUAUCGAUCCUGUCUGGCUUGGGAAACCAGAGUGAAUCGAAUGUGAUUUAGUUUGAUCAAAGCAUUCUCAAUAUUCAUUUUGCAAACAAUCACAAACUCACGCAAUGUAUAUAGAAUGGUACUGGGCAAAAAGGUGACAAAAGAGAGAAUUCUUCCAUCAGUGUGUGAAGAUGAUGGAGAUGAAGGCGGAAAAGAAGAGGAUUUGGGAGGAAUCACAAGCAGUCCAAUCAGCAGACCCAGGAGUCUCUACAGCAGAGGAAAGAGUGUCUAGAUCGCCCAGCCAGCAUCAAAGCACAAGAAUGGCCCAUCAGGAUGAAGAUCAUAUGAAUGAAGAAGACGAGGUGGAUGAAGGUGGAGGUAUCCAUCCAGGUGAUGGACAGCAGCAGGAUGAAGAGUGUGUCAUCAGUGACAAAGAUUUUGACACAGACCUGGAACUUGACAGAUUUCACAGUGAGAGUUCUUAUUAAAAGUGAAAGUGUGACUAUGAGCAGAGAGAGAGAGAGAGAGAGAGAGAGAGAGAGAGAGAGAGGGGCACAGAAUAUGAUGUUGCCACUCAACGGGGAAUAAAACAGGCAAACGGCCGUGAGUCAUGCUUGUAAUUUCAGACAGGUCUCUCUUCUCCUUCUCUUCUUUCUCUCUCUCAUUUUUCACCUGCUUGUUCUGCAGAUACCGAAACACCUACACACUCCUCUACAUAUACAUAAAUCACGGCUCCAUCCAUCUCUCACUAUCUCUCUGAUGGCUGUUUAUUCAGCUUAUUAGAGAUAGCCAUCUGCUAGAUUACUGCUGUGUGCCUCCGCAUAGCUUAAUGAAUGGCUUGGGAAUUUUCCACAUUCAUGAUAAUUGCGCAUCUCAAUGAGAAACAAUGAUACAUAGUUGUCGUAUUUGCUUUAUAAAGUCACACCAGGUCAUCUCAUUUGAGCUGCAGAGGUUGCAUGUGUGAGUACGGCACACAUUGGUUAUCUUCUGUAUCGACAGCAUUGAUUAACUGUGCUUGCUAAGGAAAGCUUUCGUUUUUUUGUUUUCACUCAUAAGUCAUAAUGAUAAUAAUAAACCUCUUACCUUCUGUUUUAAAUUUUAGUGCGUAACUUGUCUCGUACAGUUUGUGAUGCAGACAUGAAUGGUACCUUCUUGAGAUGUUUUAUUGCUUUGUAAGCAGUUAUUCAAUGUUUUCAUUUUUUUUGCAUUAUCUGUAUAGAUUGAGAAAUUAACAUAGUAUCAUGAUUGCAGCUGUCAAUAACAUUUUGCAUAAUUUAUGUACAUAAGAGCUGUUUUAUCAAACAAAAGAAAAAGAGGUAUUCUGAUUAUGUUUUAGAUGAAAGACGAGCAUUUGACCCUACAGGACAGUCAAGCUACAGAGAGGCUUGUAAGAUGCUGAAUGUAAUUCCAGCAUCCUUCUCAGGGCCGCUGCUGGCCAAAUGGGUGCCCUAUGCAAGAUUGUAUUGUUGUGCCCCUAUACCCCCCCCCCCCCAACUUACAGUGUAUACAGUGUAUACAGUGUAUAGAUAACAUUGUGCU
rnacentral:lncRNA from 1 species